CAAAUGGUCCUUUCCAGGACCAUCAAAAUGAGUCCAAAAAGAAUUA
rfam:Aedes aegypti strain Liverpool supercont1.277 genomic scaffold, whole genome shotgun sequence.